UACGUAGGGGGCUAGCGUUGUCCGGAAUUACUGGGCGUAAAGAGCUCGUAGGUGGUUUGUCGCGUUGUUCGUGAAAACUCACAGCUUAACUGUGGGCGUGCGGGCGAUACGGGCAGACUGGAGUACUGCAGGGGAGACUGGAAUUCCUGGUGUAGCGGUGGAAUGCGCAGAUAUCAGGAGGAACACCGGUGGCGAAGGCGGGUCUCUGGGCAGUAACUGACGCUGAGGAGCGAAAGCGUGGGGAGCGAACAGG
rnacentral:rRNA from 1 species